CUUCGUUUGGCCGUUUGGCCUCUGUGGCCUCGGGCAAACCUCAGCCUCUCAGUCCUUUUGCAUUUGUAAAACAAUUUCCCUGAGUUGUGAGGAUUAAAUGAAUGACCGAUCCAGAUUUGGGUCCCGCACAGCGGCUAGCUCAGAGAAAGAAGAUCAGGCAAUCCUAGAUUUAUAAAGUGAACCCACCAUUGUCCUGCUGUGCCUCUUUGGGAAAGACACUUGACAUCUCUGAGCUCCCACCCCUUUUCACGUAUGCAGGAAGAGGCUGAUGACAUUCAAGGGGCUUUUUCCUGGGAGUCAGGGUGAGCUGGUGACUGGCAGAGUGUCAAACCAACCUUGACUCUGAGGAGGAAAUAGAAAAGGAAGGCCUGGAUGUGACUGCUGUGUAACCAAAAUACUGAGACUGAGCCUCAAGGAGCUUAAGCCUCUUGUUCAAGGUCACAUGAAGUAAGUAAAGAAGAUGUGUUAGAUCAGCACAGUCAAACUCCAGAAUGAGUGUAUCGGAAGGUAGCUGUUUGUGUGGAGGGUGCCUCGCUCUUGCUGUGACGAUGGUUUUGAUGCCUGGUACCCCCAUCCCCAAGACUGUAAGCUCCAUGAAGUAUUUGUUCCCUAUUUCACUGUACGCAAUACCUAUCUGUAAUAAAUGGCUGAUGCUGACCAAUGAUUA